CUUCCCACCCCCAGCAGAAUCUGACGACUGGUCUGGGGUUCGUAACAGUCGUGAAAAGAGAGACGCCAUCUCCCUGGCCAUAAAGGACAUCAAGGAGGCCAUAGAAGAGGUGAAGACCAGGACGGUGAGGUCACCCUAUACCCCUGAUGAACCUAAAGAGCCCAUCUGGGUGAUGAGACAGGACCUGAGCCCCACCGCUGAGUGUUGUGACCUGCAGCCCUCACUAGGUGGCGACUCUCCAGGCUCAGACUCUCAAGCCUCUCCUCAGGGGGCGGAGUCUUCCGUCAGGACGUCCAUGCUCGAGGGGAGUGACAGCUUCGAGUCUCCACCCCCCUCCACUAAAGAGUCCAGGAGAAGCCUCGCCUCCUUCCCUACCUAUGUAGAAGGUAAGACCUCCCGUUAGUUCCCUCCCUGUCCUCCUCUGCUUUACUUUACUAGGCUUUGCUUUGC
rnacentral:lncRNA from 1 species